AGGAGCCGGAUGCGAGAAAGACGCACGUCCGGUUCUGUAGAGGGAUAAGGGGAGAAAUCCCCUUAUCUACUCGAC
rnacentral:ncRNA from 2 species